GAUGAACGCUGGCGGCGUGCCUAAUACAUGCAAGUCGAGCGAACAGAUGAGGAGCUUGCUCCUCUGACGUUAGCGGCGGACGGGUGAGUAACACGUGGAUAACCUACCUAUAAGACUGGGAUAACUUCGGGAAACCGGAGCUAAUACCGGAUAAUAUAUUGAACCGCAUGGUUCAAUAGUGAAAGACGGUUUUGCUGUCACUUAUAGAUGGAUCCGCGCCGCAUUAGCUAGUUGGUAAGGUAACGGCUUACCAAGGCAACGAUGCGUAGCCGACCUGAGAGGGUGGUCGGCCACACUGGAACUGAGACACGGUCCAGACUCCUACGGUAGGCAGCAGUAGGGAAUCUUCCGCAAUGGGCGAAAGCCUGACGGAGCAACGCCGCGUGAGUGAUGAAGGUCUUCGGAUCGUAAAACUCUGUUAUUAGGGAAGAACAAAUGUGUAAGUAACUAUGCACGUCUUGACGGUACCUAAUCAGAAAGCCACGGCUAACUACGUG
rnacentral:rRNA from 1 species